AAGAGAAGUACGUGAACUGAGACAGCAGUUUGAACGAGGCAAGGGUGUGCCCAACAUGUCCAAGGCUGACAUCCAUGCUGUGUGUGGUGUCCUAAAGGAUUUCCUACGGUCGCUACGUGAAACUCUCAUCGUCAAGUCUCUUUGGAAGACGUUCGUUGAUGCAGCACAGCUGGAUGAUGGAGACCGCAUAUGGGCCACGUGGCAGGCAGUAACACAACUGCGCAGCCAAACAGAGACACACUGGCUGCGCUGGUACUGCAUCUGCAGAAUGUGGCCAGCCAUCACGAGACCAAGAUGCCCAUCAGCAACUUGGCACGUGUUUCGGACCAACUAUUGUAGGAUUUUCUGCAAAUGACAUGACCGCAGUGCCCAACUUGCUGGCAGAGACUGAGCAGCAGGCACAGGUGAUGGAAGCCCUCAUGAGCGUGCCCGCAGACUAUUGGGAACAACUGUUGGAUGUGGACACUGAUGAGGAUAUUGGCACCCUGAGAUAAG